rnacentral:rRNA from 1 species
AUUGAACGCUGGCGGCAGGCCUAACACAUGCAAGUCGAGCGGAUGAAGGGAGCUUGCUCCUGGAUUCAGCGGCGGACGGGUGAGUAAUGCCUAUGAAUCUGCCUGGUAGUGGGGGAUAACGUCCGGAAACGGGCGCUAAUACCGCAUACGUCCUGAUGGAGAAAGUGGGGGAUCUUCGGACCUCACGCUAUCAGAUGAGCCUAGGUCGGAUUAGCUAGUUGGUGGGGUAAAGGCCUACUAAGGCGACGAUCCGUAACUGGUCUGAGAGGAUGAUCAGUCACACUGGAGCUGAGACACGGUCCAGACUCCUACGGGAGGCAGCAGUGAGGAAUAGUGGACAAUGGGCGAAAGCCUGAUCCAGCCAUGCCGCGUGUGUGAAGAAGGUCUUCGGAUUGUAAAGCACUUUAAGUUGGGAGGAAGGGCAGUAAGUUAAUACCUUGCUGUUUUGACGUUACCAACAGAAUAAGCACCGGCUAACUUCGUG